ensembl:lncRNA
GUCUUGAGUGCUCCCAGUGACCAGCAGUGCAUGGGGUGGGGUGGGGCGGUCCCAGGAUUCAGAGUGCCGGGUGGUCUGCUAGCCCACUGCUAGCACGGGCUAUGGAUCCCCCUCAGGGGAGAGCUCAUCCUGAGGGAGGGAAGGCUGGAGGCAGAGAGGGUAGCACGGCUUGUCCUGUGACCCUGACACUACUUGGUGUGAGGCUCCUGUGCCUGGAAAGCGGGACUCACCAGGAUAAAGCCUGAGCUCCUCAGCAUGGUGCCCGAGGCUUGAUUGGGCCCCUGCCUUUCCCUCCCUCGAGCCGUCCUUAUCUGACCACUUACAGUCCCUGGCCUCUGCCUGAAUUUUCUCCUUCCCUGCCCUUCCUGCCUGGCGAUCACUUACACCAAUUCACCUGUUUUCGCUGGGCCCAGCAGAGUGCUUGGUAAAUGGCCAAAAAUGUGUAUGAAAAAAUGAACGAGUGGAAAGAGUAGGGGACUCACCUGGGACCCCCCAGUAUUCAAACCGUGACCCGUUUGGAGACCCAAGUCUCCAGCAUCAGUUGCGUGUGGUACUCAUGCCCUUCUCCUGAGUUUCUGCAAUCGCUGCUGGAGGGAUGGUGGCCACAAACACACAGCCCCAGGACGCCUGUGUCCAGCCAGCACUCACCUUGCCUGGGGCAGGCAGGCAGAAGGCAACCGGUACCCUCUCUCAGCCAGGGACCCUCUGCCGGUCACAGAGAUCUCAGCUCUGCCACUGGGCUGGGCCUCGCUGGUCACUCCUGGUUCUGUUUCCUGAGGAAUGAAAAUCCGACAAAGCCCAGAAAGCAUCACCAGCCAGUGUGAUGCCAGCCUCCUGCGGAGAGGCCACCAGGUGAAAUGUGUUUUGCUGCGUAUUCAAAUCCCCCGAGGGAGCUUCGAAAACUGCGGUGCCUGGCUUCAUCUCAUGGCAGAAUGGCUGGAGGUGGGACCCAGGAGUCAGUACUUAAAAUGCCCCAGAAAUGUGGAUGGACCGAGAGAGCAUCAUGCUUAGUGA